rnacentral:tRNA from 1 species
AGGUAUUGAGUAGAGUUUUCUAUAUCCAAUUGCGGUUUGGGAGUUUUUAUACCUU